rnacentral:rRNA from 1 species
GUAAUAUAUAGUUAACGUGCCUCUUAGCCUGGGAUAGCCACUGGAAACGGUGAUUAAUACUGGAUACUCCUUCUAACUUAAUGUUAGUCGGGAAAGGUUUUUCGCUAAGAGAUCGGACUAUAUUGUAUCAGCUAGUUGGGGAGGUAAUGGCUCACCAAGGCAAUGACACAUAGCGGGUUUGAGAGGAUGAUCCGCCACACUGGUACUGAGACACGGACCAGACUCCUACGGGAGGCAGCAGUGAGGAAUAUUGCACAAUGGGGGAAACCCUGAUGCAGCAACGCCGCGUGGAGGAUGACGCAUUUCGGUGUGUAAACUCCUUUUAUAAGAGAAGAAAAUGACGGUAUCUUAUGAAUAAGUCCCGGCUAACUCCGUGCCAGCAGCCGCGGUAAUACGGAGGGGACAAGCGUUAUUCGGAAUCACUGGGCGUAAAGGACGCGUAGGCGGGUUAUUAAGUCGGGUGUGAAAUCCAAUGGCUCAACCAUUGAACUGCAUUCGAAACUGGUGACCUAGAGUAUGGAAGGGGCAGGUGGAAUUAGUGGUGUAGGGGUAAAAUCCGUAGAUAUCACUAGGAAUACCGAAAGCGAAGGCGACCUGCUGGGACAUUACUGACGCUGAGGCGUGAAAGCGUGGGGAGCAAACAGGAUUAGAUACCCUGGUAGUCCACGCCCUAAACGAUGAAUGCUAGUCGUCGGGGAGCUUGUCUCUUCGGUGAUGCACUUAACAGAUUAAGCAUUCCGCCUGGGGAGUACGGUCGCAAGAUUAAAACUCAAAGGAAUAGACGGGGACCCGCACAAGUGGUGGAGCAUGUGGUUUAAUUCGAAGAUACGCGAAGAACCUUACCUAGCCUUGACAUUGAUUGAAUCUUUCAGAGAUGAGAGAGUGCCUUUCGGGGAACAUGAAAACAGUGCUGCACGGCUGUCGUCAGCUCGUGUCGUGAGAUGUUGGGUUAAGUCCCGCAACGAGCGC